rnacentral:rRNA from 1 species
UCUGGUUGAUCCUGCCAGUAGUUAUAUGCUUGUCUCAAAGAUUAAGCCAUGCAUGUCUAAGUACACACGAAUUAAAAGUGAAACCGCAAAAGGCUCAUUAUAUCAGUUAUGGUUCCUUAGAUCGUUAACAGUUACUUGGAUAACUGUGGUAAUUCUAGAGCUAAUACAUGCAAUUAAAACAUGAACCUUAUGGGACAUGUGCUUUUAUUAGGCUAAAACCAAGCGAUCGCAAGAUCGUUAUAUUGGUUGAACUCUAGAUAACAUGCAGAUCGUAUGGUCUUGUACCGACGACAGAUCUUUCAAAUGUCUGCCCUAUCAACUUUUGAUGGUAGUAUCUAGGACUACCAUGGUUGCAACGGGUAACGGGGAAUCAGGGUUCGAUUCCGGAGAGGGAGCCUGAGAAACGGCUACCACAUCUAAGGAAGGCAGCAGGCGCGUAAAUUACCCACUCCCAGCUCGGGGAGGUAGUGACGAAAAAUAACAAUACAGGACUCAUAUCCGAGGCCCUGUAAUUGGAAUGAGUACACUUUAAAUCCUUUAACAAGGACCAAUUGGAGGGCAAGUCUGGUGCCAGCAGCCGCGGUAAUUCCAGCUCCAAUAGCGUAUAUUAAAGUUGUUGCGGUUAAAACGUUCGUAGUUGAACUUGUGCUUCAUACGGGUAGUACAACUUACAAUUGUGGUUAGUACUAUACCUUUAUGUAUGUAAGCGUAUUACCGGUGGAGUUCUUAUAUGUGAUUAAAUACUUGUAUUUUUUCAUAUGUUCCUCCUAUUUAAAAACCUGCACUAGUGCUCUUAAACGAGUGUUAUUGUGGGCCGGUACUAUUACUUUGAACAAAUUAGAGUGCUUAAAGCAGGCUUCAAAUGCCUGAAUAUUCUGUGCAUGGGAUAAUGAAAUAAGACCUCUGUUCUGCUUUCAUUGGUUUUCAGAUCAAGAGGUAAUGAUUAAUAGAAGCAGUUUGGGGGCAUUAGUAUUACGACGCGAGAGGUGAAAUUGA